AAGUCGUAACAAGGUUUCCGUAGGUGAACCUGCGGAAGGAUCAUUAUCGAAAGCUGUAGGGGGGUUAGAGCUGGCUCUCAGGAGCAUGUGCCCGCCCCCUUCACUCUCAACUUUAUUCAACUGUGCACUUUUGACGGAUGGGAUUAAUCUUUUCCCCUAGUUUUUAAUUUAGACUUGGGGAGGUGUUCAAGCGUUCACUCGCAUUUUCAUCCGAUUUUCCUAUCCGUACUCUACACAUACUUUAUAAAUCUAAUCUAGAAUGUCGAUUGGCCUGAAAGGGUCUUAAUCUUUAAUACAACUUUCAACAACGGAUCUCUUGGCUCUC
rnacentral:misc_RNA from 1 species